GCCAGGUGUGGUGGUGGGCACCUGUAAUCCCAGCUACUCGGAGGCUGAGGCAGGAGGAUUGCUUGAACCCAGGAUGCAGAGGUUGCAGUGAGCAGAGAUUGUGCCACUGCACUCCAGCCUGGGUGACAGAGCAAGACUCCAUCUCAA
ensembl:misc_RNA Metazoa_SRP Metazoan signal recognition particle RNA